UAAACGACUCUCGGCAACGGAUAUCUUGGCUCACGCAUCGAUGAAGAACGUAGCAAAAUGCGAUACUUGGUGUGAAUUGCAGAAUCCCGUGAACCAUCGAGUUUUUGAACGCAAGUUGCGCCCGAAGCCAUUUGGCCGAGGGCACGUCUGCCUGGGCGUCACGC
rnacentral:rRNA from 1 species